rnacentral:rRNA from 1 species
ACGCACGCUGGCGGCGUGCUUAACACAUGCAAGUCGAACGGAAAGGCCCUGCUUUUGUGGGGUGCUCGAGUGGCGAACGGGUGAGUAACACGUGAGUAACCUGCCCUUGACUUUGGGAUAACUUCAGGAAACUGGGGCUAAUACCGGAUAGGAGCUCCUGCUGCAUGGUGGGGGUUGGAAAGUUUCGGCGGUUGGGGAUGGACUCGCGGCUUAUCAGCUUGUUGGUGGGGUAGUGGCUUACCAAGGCUUUGACGGGUAGCCGGCCUGAGAGGGUGACCGGCCACAUUGGGACUGAGAUACGGCCCAGACUCCUACGGGAGGCAGCAGUGGGGAAUAUUGCACAAUGGGCGGAAGCCUGAUGCAGCAACGCCGCGUGCGGGAUGACGGCCUUCGGGUUGUAAACCGCUUUCGCCUGUGACGAAGCGUGAGUGACGGUAAUGGGUGAAGAAGCACCGGCUAACUACGUG